UGAGCAAGCUGUGGUUUUGAUAAUUUCUCACUUGAACUUUCUCUGAAACAUUCCUGUCUAUCUUGUCCAGGUUAACAAGCAGAGGGAUCUGUUCUGCCCAUGGGCAGGUGGGGUGCCGUUUGUGGGCAGGAGGCCUUGGUCAUGGGACACAGUGGUGUUGGCUGGGCUGUUCCAGGACGAGUUGCCGAGCUGGCGCCAUCAGCAGGUCUCUGGCUUCCACUCACGUCCAUCCUGCUGGAUGUAGCUUCUUCCAGGCUGUUGGGUGGUUGGGUGGGUUUAUCCCUCAGCCUAAACCUGUCCUCAGGAAGCCAGGCCCCUGCUGCUCCUUCUAUCUUCACCAUGUCUCCAAGGGGAGGGCACACUGCCUACCCCAGGGACGGGCACAACAGGGGAUUCCCCUGGCACAGGUGGACAAACAGGCUGCUCAUCCUUGGAUCUGAACAACUGACCAGAGACAGAUGUGUGUGCAUUGUGGGACUCCCCACUGGACCCCUAGAGCAGUCACUUGAGUCAACCACAGGAGUCUCACCUGAGUGCCUGGUUGGCAAUGAUAUAGGCCCCAGGUGGCUUAUGAGUAGCGUCUAGGCAACUGAUGGAUUCUUAGUGGAUCCUGCUGAAAGGACGUUAAGAGCUUCAUGUAAACGGGGAAGCAAAGCAUCCUGUCACCCCCUUCCCUGUUGAUCAGAGGUGGCACCUUGUGGGUCCAGUUCCUGAGUGGAUAAAGAAAGAGUUCAGUGCAGGCGAAUAUCCUGAGUUGUUCUUUGGGGAGGAGAAGGGUUUGGCAUUGCCUCUGUCCGGCAUGGGGGAGAGACACUCCAGGGGACUGGGGCAGGCAGGAGCCACUCAACAACCAGACUCCCAAGACACCCCAUCCUCUCGAUCCACGGCUCGGCCCAGGGCCAAGCUUUGAGAGCUCAGGGGACAAGACUGUUGUCAGUGGUGGGGCUGGGGGUUAGGCAAGGAUGUUGGAACAGGGCCUCUGGCUGAGAGGGGCAAGCGGCCUCUCCUCUGUUGGCCCCUCAGCAACUCACUGCCCCUGUUUGGUCCUCUGUCUCCCCAUCAGGGAAAUGGAGGUAUGGUGAUUGUGUGGUGAUUGUGUGGUGCAGGCCUCACAGGGUGGUAAUGAGGUAAGAGGGAGGAAAGGAAUGUGGGAGCUUUCUGCCUGCUCCACCUGGAGGGGUGAGGGCCAGAACAAUGAUGACAGUCAUGCGACAGUGAGUCCUCAGGAGAACCUGUGAGGUAGCUGGAGUUCUCACACUUUCCAGAUGAGGAAACAGGCUCGGGGAGGCCAGGCCAAAAGCCCGAGCUCACACCCAGAGUGAGAGUUGGAGCUGGGCUUGUUCUGGAAUCACAAGACCUUGCAGGGUGGAGUGGCAUUGGUGCCAGUUCACUGGAGUCAGAUGUUCAGGGUCAGAGGCCAGUGGUGCUCAAGAGAAAUGGGGUGAGGGGAGUAUGGUCUCGCUGACACUGUCCUCGACUCUGGCAGGAGGGGCCCUCCACGUUUGCCCCCCGGAGGGCAACCCCCAGAGAGUGCAGGAGAAGCAGCAGCAGCAGCAGGGGAAUGAGAUCAACCUUGAGAAGAGGACUGAGG